rnacentral:rRNA from 1 species
UACGUAGGGGGCAAGCGUUGUCCGGAAUCAUUGGGCGUAAAGAGCGUGUAGGCGGCCAGAUAAGUCCGCUGUGAAAACUCGGGGCUCAACCCCGAGCGUGCACCCGAUACUGCCGGGCUUGAGGCAGGUAGGGGAGAUCGGAAUUCCUGGUGUAGCGGUGAAAUGCGCAGAUAUCAGGAGGAACACCGGUGGCGAAGGCGGAUCUCUGGGCCUGUCCUGACGCUGAGGCGCGAAAGCUAGGGGAGCGAACAGG